rnacentral:rRNA from 1 species
GAUGAACGCUGGCGGCGUGCCUAACACAUGCAAGUCGAGCGAAGCGGGGACGGGUGAGUAAUACGUAGAUAACUUCCUAUAAGACUGGGUUAACACUGGGAACCCUGAGCAAUACGCGUUACCUACAGAUUGAUCCUCGCUGCAGUAGCUAGUUGGUAAGGUAACGGCUUACCAAGGCUACGAUGCAUAGCCGGCCUGAGAGGGUGAUCGGCCACACUGGAACUGAGACACGGUCCAGACUCCUACGGGAGGCAGCAGUGGGGAAUCUUCCGCAAUGGGCGAAAGCCUGACGGAGCAACGCCGCGUGAGUGAAGAAGGUCUUCGGGUCGUAAAACUCUGUUAUUAGGGAAGCGGUACCUAUUCAAAAAGCCACGGCUAACUACGUGCCAGCAGCCGCGGUAAUAC